rnacentral:rRNA from 1 species
CCUACGGGAGGCAGCAGUGAGGAAUAUUGGUCAAUGGACGAGAGUCUGAACCAGCCAAGCAGCGUGAAGGAUGACUGCCCUGUGGGUUGUAAACUUCUUUUAUAAAGGGAUAAAACGAGGCACGUGUGCCUUUUUGCAUGUACUUUAUGAAUAAGGAUCGGCUAACUCCGUGCCAGCAGCCGCGGUAAUACGGAGGAUCCGAGCGUUAUCCGGAUUUAUUGGGUUUAAAGGGAGCGUAGAUGGGUUGUUAAGUCAGUUGUGAAAGUUUGCGGCUCAACCGUAAAAUUGCAAUUGAUACUGGCAGCCUUGAGUGCGGUGGAGGUAAGCGGAAUGCGUGGUGUAGCGGUGAAAUGCUUAGAUAUCGCGAAGAACCCCGAUUGCGAAGGCAGCUUACUAAGCUGUGACUGACAUUGAUGCACGAAAGUGUGGGUAUCAAACAGGAUUAGAUACCCGAGUAGUC